GACAGAGGAUGCAAGCGUUAUCCGGAAUGAUUGGGCGUAAAGCGUCUGUAGGUGGCUUUUUAAGUCCGCCGUCAAAUCCCAGGGCUCAACCCUGGACAGGCGGUGGAAACUACCAAGCUGGAGUACGGUAGGGGCAGAGGGAAUUUCCGGUGGAGCGGUGAAAUGCGUAGAGAUCGGAAAGACCACCAAUGGCGAAGGCACUCUACUGGGCCACUACUGACACUGAGAGACGAAAGCUAGGGGGAGCGAAUGGG
rnacentral:rRNA from 1 species